UUAGCUCAUAUUUGUAUGGAAUGCGAUCGUUUGCCUACGUUUGCCGCUAGGGGCGCUGUUCCAACUGCAUACAAAAUUGGGUUA
rfam:Bombyx mori DNA, contig: Bm_scaf24_contig16397, strain: p50T/Dazao, build 2, whole genome shotgun sequence.